rnacentral:rRNA from 1 species
GACGAACGCUGGGGGCGUGCCUAGUACAUGCAAGUAGAACGCUGAGGUUUGGUGUUUACACUAGACUGAUGAGUUGCGAACGGGUGAGCAACGCGUAGGUAACCUGCCUCAUAGCGGGGGAUAACUAUUGGAAACGAUAGCUAAUACCGCAUAAGAGUAAUUAACACAUGUUAGUUAUUUAAAAGGAGCAAUUGCUUCACUGUGAGAUGCACCUGCGUUGUAUUAGCUAGUUGGUGAGGUAAAGGCUCACCAAGGCGACGAUACAUAGCCGACCUGAGAGGGUGAUCGGCCACACUGGGACUGAGACACGGCCCAGACUCCUACGGGAGGCAGCAGUAGGGAAUCUUCGGCAAUGGACGGAAGUCUGACCGAGCAACGCCGCGUGAGUGAAGAAGGUUUUCGGAUCGUAAAGCUCUGUUGUUAGAGAAGAACGUUGGUAGGAGUGGAAAAUCUACCAAGUGACGGUAACUAACCAGAAAGGGACGGCUAACUACGUGCCAGCAGCCGCGGUAAUACGUAGGUCCCGAGCGUUGUCCGGAUUUAUUGGGCGUAAAGCGAGCGCAGGCGGUUCUUUAAGUCUGAAGUUAAAGGCAGUGGCUUAACCAUUGUACGCUUUGGAAACUGGAGGACUUGAGUGCAGAAGGGGAGAGUGGAAUUCCAUGUGUAGCGGUGAAAUGCGUAGAUAUAUGGAGGAACACCGGUGGCGAAAGCGGCUCUCUGGUCUGUAACUGACGCUGAGGCUCGAAAGCGUGGGGAGCAAACAGG